GGGGAGGUGUCAUGGCUCUAGUGGCAAAGCAUCUGCUUUGCUUGCAGAAGACCCCUGGUUCAAUCCCUGGCCGCUCCA
rnacentral:tRNA from 1 species